rnacentral:siRNA from 1 species
UGGAGAUGCCUCAUGUUCUCC